ensembl:misc_RNA Y_RNA Y RNA
AGCUGGUCUGAAGGUAAUGAGUUAUCUCAACUGAUUGGUCAUGGCCAAUUACAGACAGAACUCCUUAUUUUACUUCCCCACCCCCCGACUACUGCACUUGACUAGUCAAAA